AGAGAUGUGUGAUGACGCAUAUCAAUAAGCGGAGGAAAAGAAACUAACAAGGAUUCCCUUAGUAACGGCGAGUGAAGCGGGAAGAGCUCAAAUUUGAAAUCUUCAAGGUUCUACCUUGACGAAUUGUAGUUUAUAAGAAGUGUUUUCUGUUAGUAGGAGUGGCAAAAGUUCUUUGGAAUAGGACAUCAUAGAGGGUGAGAAUCCCGUAUUUGGUCAUUCCUUCUAGCUUUGUGAUACACUUUCAACGAGUCGGAUUGUUUGGGAAUGCAGUCCAAAAUGGGUGGUAAAUUUCAUCUAAAGCUAAAUAUUGGCGAGAGACCGAUAGCGAACAAGUACCGUGAGGGAAAGAUGAAAAGAACUUUGAAAAGAGAGUUAAACAGUACGUGAAAUUGUCAAAAGGGAAGCGUUUGACACCAGUGUUGUUUUUCCGAAAAUCAAUUACGAAUGUUUUAUUUUUGAGGAGUUAUGACUUCAUCGGCUUGCUUCCUCUCUUUAUGAAACUUUCUUAAUGCACUUUUCGGUUAACAAGUCAACAUCAAUUUCUUUUGUUGUAAAAGAGUAUGAGGAAGGUGGCUUUCUUUUCGGAGAAAGUGUUUAUAGCCUUGUACCUCCUGCAAUCGGAGAGACUUGAGGUCUGCAGCGUAGAUCCUUUCUGGAUUAGAUACAUUUGUGCUAAGUUAUAGCUUUUCAUAGACAACAUUGUUGACUAUAUUUAGUCUUGUAACUUACUCGCUUAUGCUAAUUUUACCUACGCUUAGGAUGUUGAAGUCAUCGUAUCGCGC
rnacentral:rRNA from 1 species